rnacentral:rRNA from 1 species
AUGAACGCUGGCGGCGUGUCUAAGGCAUGCAAGUCGAACGGGUGUUUUUCGGUAGCAAUACUGGAAAACGCUAGUGGCAAACGGGAGAGUAACACAUUGGUAACCUGCCUCCGAAAUGGGAACAACUCGCCGAAAGGCAAGCUAAUUCCCAAUGGUCACGAGGGGUCACAAGACAUUCUCGUGUAAAGGAGUAAUCCGUUCGGAGAGGGGCCUAUGGCUCAUCAGCUAGUUGGUAGGGUAACGGCCUACCAAGGCAACGACGAGUAGCGGUUGUGGGAGCAUGACCCGCCUCAUGGGAACUGAGACACUGUCCCAACACCUACGGGUGGCUGCAGUCGAGAAUCUUCCCCAAUGGACGAAAGUCUGAGGGAGCGACGCCGCGUGCAGGAAGAAGCUCUUCGGGGCGUAAACUGCUUUUGCAUAAGAACAAGUUCUGAGUGUAUUAUGCGAAUAAGGACCUGCUAAACUCGU